GCGCGGGUCUCUUCCCCCCUCCCCGUCCCCUUCGGGGUAGGGGUUGAAGCAGCUCCUGGCCCAGGCCCGGCAGUCGCUUGUCAGCCGCCGAGGAGUUCGGUACUUGCUAUCUUCGUUAAGCGGUAGCGCAAUGAGGUCGCUCAGUUUGCUGUGGCCGUGCUACCGCUGACCCCCUUCAACUGGAAUAUGGCCGCGCCGCUACCCGCGGUUGCUCCCAGGCUUAUGGCAGGGCCGGGGGGAGGCGGAGAAAGGGAGUCGCGGAUGCUACCGCGGUCGCCGCUGCUGCUGCCGCUGCUGCUAGGAUUUCUCCUCAGCCGGUGCCUGGGAGAACAGCCUGCUCGCGCCGCCGCCGCCGCCGCCGCGUUGCCCGGGGCGUCCGAUUCUGAGGAAACGGUGAUAAUAGGGUUACGGCUGGAGGACACGGACGAUGUAUCUUUCAUGGAAAAGGGAGUGCUGCGGGUGAGCGAGAGGACUCAUGUCAAACUGCGGGUCUACGGGCAGAAUAUCAAUAACGAGACCUGGUCCCGCAUCGCAUUCACUGAGCAUGAACGGUGGAGGGAUGGGGAAGGCAGGCGGACCCCAGCUGAACAAGAAGAUGGUCCGGUCCCCGUUGGUUCUAUGUCAUCGGCCCCGCAGCGUUGCGGCAUCCGGACAUCGGAUAUCAUUAUCCUUCCGCGUAUCACCCUCAACCGCCGUACCUCGGGUAUUAUCGAGAUUGAUAUCAAGCCAUUGCGCAAAACGGAAAAGAGCAAGUCGUACUACCUGUGUACUUCUAUAUCUUCCCCAGCUAUCCUAGGAGGGGCAGGGAGUGUGGCUGGGGGCCCUGGUGGUGGAGGUAGCAUUAUUGGUCCUGAUGGAGGGCCCUGGACUGAAACAACCUGGAUCUAUCACGAUGGUGAGGACACCAAAAUGAUUGUAGGCGAGGAGAAGAAAUUCUUGUUACCCUUCUGGCUUCAGGUGAUCUUCAUCUCCCUCCUGUUGUGUCUUUCUGGCAUGUUCAGUGGUCUCAACCUGGGACUUAUGGCUCUUGAUCCUAUGGAGUUGCGUAUUGUGCAGAAUUGUGGGACAGAAAAAGAAAAAAACUAUGCUAAGCGCAUUGAGCCUGUGCGCCGCCAGGGCAAUUAUUUGCUCUGUUCCUUGCUCUUGGGUAAUGUAUUGGUUAAUACUACCCUUACCAUCCUGCUUGAUGACAUUGCGGGUUCUGGACUGGUGGCAGUGGUAGUAUCCACCAUUGGUAUUGUCAUUUUUGGUGAGAUUGUGCCACAGGCUAUUUGUUCUCGGCAUGGUCUGGCUGUUGGUGCCAACACCAUCUUCCUCACCAAGUUCUUUAUGAUGAUGACCUUUCCAGCCUCUUACCCAGUCAGCAAGCUGCUGGACUGCGUUUUAGGGCAAGAGAUUGGUACUGUCUAUAACCGUGAGAAGCUACUUGAAAUGUUAAGAGUCACUGAUCCCUACAAUGAUUUGGUCAAAGAAGAAUUGAAUAUAAUUCAAGGAGCGCUGGAAUUGCGCACCAAAACUGUGGAGGAUGUAAUGACUCCUCUCCGGGAUUGCUUCAUGAUUACUGCUGAGGCUGUACUUGAUUUCAACACUAUGUCUGAAAUUAUGGAGAGUGGUUAUACACGUAUCCCUGUUUUUGAAGGGGACCGCUCUAAUAUUGUGGACCUUCUUUUUGUCAAAGACUUAGCUUUUGUGGAUCCUGAUGAUUGUACUCCACUCAAGACCAUCACACGUUUUUAUAACCACCCCCUGCAUUUUGUCUUCAAUGACACCAAGCUUGAUGCCAUGCUUGAGGAAUUCAAAAAAGUGAUGUGGCUGGCUUGAGGAUCACAACUCAUCACCAGAGGAAUAUGAGGAAGUGAAGGAAAAGGUAGAGGAGAGAAGGAUUGUACAUGAUCUGCUGUCUGCCAGAGAUGUGGUUCAUGAAACUAAGCCAAAGAUGUUCAUCUGCCUGAAUUACCUGAACUAGAAUUAAAUCAUGGAACUUAAGUACCAGUCUGCUAAACAGUACAGGUGUAAUGCAUUUCCAGAAAUGGAUGUUGAAGUUCACUGCCAGGGAAAUAGGGUUCUCUUAAAUGAGUUAGUGAUCUACAGAGAUUUCCAACAUAUGACAUCAUGUGUGAAGCAGCUGGUUCUGAUCAUUCACUGUUCUCCUCCAUGGUUCUUGAAGAUUAAGACUACAUCUUGAAAGAAGUCCAAGAACAAUAGGAAAAAAAAUCUCUUUUGGUACACUGAGUAAUCACUAAUCAAGUAUUGCUACAAUGUGUUACAGAAGUAACUUUAAUUUUGGGAAAGUAGACACUGAUUUCUGUCUUGACCUUUUUUCAAUAUAAUGCCAUUAAUAUAGUGCUAUCACUGUUUGUCUCGGUGUUGUUUGUCAUUUGUAACAUAGAUGAUAAUUUUACCCCUUUCAUUCUGUGAAAUAGUAUAACACAGUGGUUGUUUCUGGCACAGAUUCAACAUUUACCCAAACAUCAUAGUGGAACUAGAGGCAGAAAAAGUUACUUUUGACAGGUAUUCAAAAUCUAAGGAACUCUGAAGUGAAUUUGCUCUUCUGUUCUUAUAGUGAUGUACAGGCCUUAUCAUCCAUUGACAAAUUAAUUAUCAAUGCUCAUCUAAUGCUUAGAAUUUCAUGAAGAUUUCCUCAGUUAUUGAUAUGAUCUGUGGUGCAAAUUACUUUCCCUUUCUGCAGUGUUUUUGUAGUUAAGAUGAUUGGUUAAUAAAUUGAAGGGAUGGCAGUACCAAAAGUAGCAGAGAGGCAAAGGUGCUAUAGGAUAGCAGGCUUCAAAAUGUCACUGGAUGGAGAACUUACUAGGGUACAUCUAUCCAUCACAUUUCUGAUCAUUAUAUAUUGAUGUCAAAAGUAAAUGUAUUUGCUUAAAAAGGCAUAAUGCAUAUUCUGUUGAUUUUCUAAUAAGGUAAACAUGUUAUUUAACAUUAGGUCCUUUGUUUCAUUUGCUUUGGCUGUUUUUUUUUUAUAAGUUUGAUGGAUGAAAGCAACAAGUUACAUUAUUUUUUGCAUAAUUGGCAGCAUUUGCUGUCUGCACUUGAAAAAAUAUUUCUUAAAACCUUUGGGGCCAUAGACAUUUAAUGAAUACAUCCUCCAUAUAGCACCAAUUUGAGAUUUGUAUCUGUUUUGUUUCAUCCUCUUAAUCAGAGAUACAGAUUUUUUUUCUUGCCUAGCAGCUAAAGGUCGGUUCACCUGUGGUAAAAGGCAAAUCUGGGAGAAAUAUAAAACUGCACAUUGUUGGCAUCUUUUUUUCUACAUAACAAUGCGGUCUAUGUAGAAACUUCAUAUUGUUUGGAGUGGCAAUUAGGAUUAGACGAUUGAGAAAUGUUGGCAAUGAACCCAGGAGGCAGCACUCUUAGAACUCCAAAGAUCCUGAAUUAGGUCAGCAGUCUAUUACAGUCCCUAAAGAUUUUGUUUGGUAAGAGCCAAUGAGUUUCAUUCCUGAUCCUAAGUUUGUCCAUGCCUUUUAUUUAUGGAAUUGUACACAUCUGGGUGAAUAACUGGGGUGGCAGAUACUUUCACACCAAACUAGUUCUCCAAAUACUAAAUAUUAGAUUUUUAAAUAUACCUGUUUCCAGGUAAUUUUGGAAUAAAGGUUGGUUGAUAAAGAGAUAGUCAUUCAUCAACCUACUUUCUGAACCAGAUGUUACUGUUGCUAUAUUAAGUAGUGCACCAUUUUUGUUAUUGUUAAAUCUGCAUAAAAUAUCUCUUAUCACUAUAAAAAUCCAUUUUUAUAAUGUAGUUGAAACAGUAUAUGUAUUUGUGCUAUGUCUGAAAUUUCCAACAUUCUAGUAAAACGCCAUUCUAAUAAGCUCUUUUGUCUGUGAACAAGGUUUAUGAUAUUAGUAGUCUCCUUUUAGACAAGAGAUCAUGUUUUGGGCAUGUACAUCAUUGGAAAGCUUACAAAUAAAAGAAAAAAAACAAUAUAAAACAGAAAAGCUUGUGUCUUUGACUUCCAGUGGGCUACUAGUGGUAUCCAUGUGUUGACUUUUUUGGUUUCAUAUUUCUCCUGAUUUCUUUCUUUGCUAUUCUCUUAAGACAUUGAUCUCAGAAUAUAAACUGGCACCAAUCUGGCAGGUCUACU